rnacentral:rRNA from 1 species
GAUGAACGCUGGCGGCGUGCCUAAUACAUGCGAGUCGAGCGAACAGAUGAGGAGCUUGCUCCUCUGACGUUAGCGGCGGACGGGUGAGUAACACGUGGAUAACCUACCUAUAAGACUGGGAUAACUUCGGGAAACCGGAGCUAAUACCGGAUAAUAUAUUGAACCGCAUGGUUCAAUAGUGAAAGACGGUUUUGCUGUCACUUAUUGAUGGAUCCGCGCCGCAUUAGCUAGUUGGUAAGGUAACGGCUUACCAAGGCAACGAUGCGUAGCCGACCUGAGAGGGUGAUCGGCCACACUGGAACUGAGACACGGUCCAGACUCCUACGGGAGGCAGCAGUAGGGAAUCUUCCGCAAUGGGCGAAAGCCUGACGGAGCAACGCCGCGUGAGUGAUGAAGGUCUUCGGAUCGUAAAACUCUGUUAUUAGGGAAGAACAAAUGUGUAAGUAACUAUGCACGUCUUGACGGUACCUAAUCAGAAAGCCACGGCUAACUACGUG